CCUUCCCCUUCUUCCGCUCCCGUUUCGCGCAGAGUUCCGCGACCCCUGCGGCGCCGACCCGUAGACGACGACAUAUCUCGAGGUAGCUAGGGGUGAGUGCGUCGUCGUGAAGGUUUAAAGGUAAUCGAAAACCUUUAGGUAUGAUCUUCUAUCUAUAUAUCUAGACGACGACGACGAUGUAGUCUUAGCGGCGACGGACGGAAGAAACCCAAAGUACAGCAAAACUAAAUCCUGUAAAUAGGUUCCUCUGUACUAUACUCCGGGAUUCGUCCUUCGGAUGAUCUAGAUGACGAUAGGUCGGGGUCAACACUCUGGGAGUAGAUCGAGCAGCGCCCGCCGAUCGGAUCGGGACGGCCUCCCCUCUCCCCUCCUCGGCCACACCUUCCUGAACCUACCGCUACCAAGGACCAACUCCAAAGUCUUCCAGGUUCGAUCGACUAUAUUGUACUGACGUCUUUUCGCAUAUGGUAAUGUAUAGAAUGCACUCUAAUGUUUACCUAAGAGUCUCGUGAGUUCCUAACCUUCCCCGCCCAUACCUCUACAAAUGUUCCCUCAAAUGUCACCCUCUCUCUAACGACACUUCAACGAAGUACAACUAUGCCACGAUCCUGUACUACUGUCUGUUAUAUAGUUACUUCAACCAUUGGAAAACUUCCAAUUCGUAGGUUUAUAACAUGUCAAUGAACCAAUAACAAUACUUUAUGUCUUACUUGAUUAACUUGUGUUACCACGUUUAGUAAAAUGGGCUGUGCAUAUAUCUCAGGAGACGAAGCUCAUGAACGUCCCACCUUCGGAUCUGUUCGUAGAAGCACUUCUUAGAAAACGUGGACUAACCUCGUGCGCAAUGUUCUAAUAUUUCCCCUAAACACUUCCUAAUUUAAAGGAAGUGUCGACACUUGGUGGUUAGAAAGUAGAACUGGACUUCGGACGGUUAUAUAAUGAUCUGUCAAGGUACCGCGGAUUUGACCGCCUAAAACCAAACAGUUCCGAGAAGCCACCUAGUGUGUGAGUACAGUGUUUGUCUCAACAUCCUUGGCUCCGCAUAUACGGUGGUCUUAAGUAUUUUCUGCGGAUAUAGAGGGUAUUCUUACUACAGAAGUCAAAUCCAGAACACUACUAUCUCUAUUAAUUUCCCAGAAGUCCAAUGAGGCCAAUAUAUCUUUGUCUGCUUCAGCCCGUUAAAUGCGUUUUCCACGAACCGUUAACCUUCUUAUCCUAUUUCCGAUGAAGCCUCAUGGGUAAUCUCCUUAGUGUAGUUCACGUCUAUACGUAACUGUGUCGUUACGCAAAACAACUUGGACUGUCUUUGUUAGCUGGAUUAUAUCGUCUUCAAGACCUAUAAGACUCGUUCUGUCUUUGAGUAUAAGGGUUCUCUGUCUACCGUCUACACAAGGGCACAGGUUGUUAACCAGAGUUCUCGCUCAGAUUAUACAACCUCUACUACCAUCGACUUGAUUUGUUAUUACUUGUAUCUGUAACGUUAAACUACGGUUGUCUAUUGAGAUUGGCAUGACACGUCGUUGAACGACUGUCCCUUUGUAGUAGUCUACACCUUGUUCAUUAGUAGCCUUCCUGGUUCCUUUUUGUCUUUUAUAACAGAUAAAAUAGGCUCUCGUAGUGUCUUCUUUACCAGUAGGAAGGUUAUAUACCGUAACCUCCGUAACCGUUCUGUUGGAACCGUGUUAACCAUAAGUUACUGGGUUUCAAAGUUCUGAUGUGAGCCCACACCCAUAUACAAAGGGUCCUUAAGUUGAACUUGUUCUAACCGUUGAGGUAUUAUUGUGUCAAUUGUCUGUUCUAGUCGUUAUAUGGAUGGUUUGUCUACGAAGUAUUUGCGGAGUUUCUCGAUAAACUACCAUUCUCGUAGGAAUAACAAAAUCUACUGGACACCCUCCUCUUGGGUUUUCUCAAUCUAUUUUACUUCCAAUACGAUCCCGAACCGGAUCCUUCGUUCCACUAAUAUCAUUGAUGUGCACUACCUCCAGAUCGUUCCUUUAAAACAUCAGGACGUCAACGUGGUAUGUUCAACCUCUGAAACUGGCAAUUACUCACAACCUGAUAUUAUUUUGUUUUUCGACUGAAACUUCUGGCUUAGCUGGUUCUUGUUAACCUCGUAUAUCCUUCCCUCUAACGCUGGUUCACACCUCCUCACCGGAAUCGCCGGGUUAGUGAACCUAUGUACAACUUGCCGUACUCCAGUCUACUUACCCUCAGCCACUCUCUGUCAGUAUAAACCUUAGAAAGAUGAAGACACCCGGUACUUCACGAACGCAGGAAUGUCGACUCGAUGUCGGUGUACAGACGAACCAACUUCAACACGAAAAGGAUAACACGUUAGAAAGCUUUUCCAGUCUGUUAUCGGUUCAUACUAGAUUAAGUGGUUACCUAACGAGAACCUAAGCAACUCGUUAGAUCCUAUAAACUAAGAUACGUCGAGACGCUUUUAAUACAGUGAGUUGAAAACCCCUACAGGAAGGAAGUUAUAAGUUUCUAUGGAACCCCAAUAUGUGUUCUUCUGUUUAUAUAAUGUAAGAAGUGCUACGUACUGGAUCACGUACUAGAGCGUUCUCUCUAAAACCGGGUAGUUGAAUUGUGACUCCCUUUGUUAACGGCGAUACGUAACGAGUGUCUAACAUGGUUCAGUAACGUCGACAGACACCGAAAAGGACGUUUAUAUAUAAGCGACGUGAAAUCCCCGACAAUGCCUGUUCUUGAAACACUACCACGUAAGAGCAGUCGAUUCACGGAGGCACAAAACCUAAAUUCACUUACGAAUUAAUUCUUCAAUGGACUGACAUAACCAGUUGACUUCGUCAACUCUAAAGAAGCACGAGGUCCUUAGGCUAUACUUUACCAAGGGUCAACAUAAUGACUCGAGAGUGUCAAUUUAAUGGACUUGGAACCACUAAGACUAUUUUAGAGUCGUGACGGCCUCCGGUAACCACUAUACUGCGUAGAACUAAAUAGUCCAACACAACUUUAUGCACUUGAAAGUUAAAGUUAUAGUAAGCGUCUCGAGUUCGUCGACCAAGUAGACCUAAAUAGUGCGUCGUCACACAGAUGUCGUCUUCGAAACCCACCGACAUGGUUUGAAGUUAUAGACUUAAAUAGUCCAUUGUUCCUUGUAUAGCCUUCCGACAGUUUCCGGUAAUCGUUAGAUUAGUUUGAGUCCAUAAAUUUAGAUAGCCCCACGUACUUACGGUACCGCGGCCGUAGUCUUUUGCUUUAACAGUCUAACGAACUGAGACAGACAUGAGAAAGAUUAGAUCUCGUAGACCUGAACAGAUUCUUAUUUCGGAUAAGGUAGUCAUAUGGUCUUUCAUAACCGUUGGAGUACUUCGAAGUAUGUAACAUGGAGAAUCUGACGUGGUCUAACUUCGAAGGACGACUAGAACACCACGUACGAAGUUCACUAUUUAAAUCGUCGUUAUAGUCGGACGAAACAGAACUUCACGACUGCUAUAUAUCUGAGCUUUUACACUUCAGACGUCUUCUCCGUGCUACAUAUUUUGCCUGUUACGAAGCUACGGAAUUCCGUGGACGGAAACACAGAUACUGUACACCCGGGUUGUCCACCGACCGGGUGUACAGUUACUGGGUUUCCGUCCACGUCUAUGUUUUUUAAUAUCUCGAUUCUAAACUUACCUGACAGCACCCACCCUCCAGACACCUACUGUUCCUCCAUAACCUUUUUGAUCACGGUGGUUGGUCACACGUCUCUAACAUAUAUUCACCAAUAUCGUCACAGUCGCAAGGAUUAACCGAAUACCCAUAGUCCGUCGUAGAGGGAUUAGAAAGAGUCAAUAUAAAGACACUAAAAGGAUUGACGUUAUUGGAUGGUAGUGAACCAGUUGAUGGUAUGGAUGCUCUCGAUCCAGACACGGCGUACCUCUCGAACCUUCUCACCUUGUGCCGUAUAUGGUCACCGCUCGGAUUCGAACCCCGUAACUGGUAUCUAGUUACACGGUUCGACUCCUAUUUUGGUACACGUGGUUCUCGAUGCCAAAACACCUAUUAUCUAAGACUAUUACACGAUAGUAGUACCCUUCUCUUAAACAGUGUGCCACCACGAAGGAGAAGAGGUUAUUGUUUUGACUAACAGUUUUUGUCGUUCCACGGGAACGUAGUCACCUCCAACGAAGUGGUUGAGGGACGGGAGGCACUAAAUUGAUAGUGGCCAACGUCACUAGACUGGUGGAGUGGAUUCUAGUAGGUUGUCAAGAGGAGCGAACAUAGUAACAGGAAGCUGGUCCGUCUUAACGGCUCAACCAACCGGUUCCACUGUAGAGACGUCUAGGAUUCCGACAGACACACGUCUUCGUACUGCAGUGAUGGCGUCACCAAUCCUUUUGAACGGAGAGAGUUCCUUAACGUCUAGUACGCGACACUCCCCUAGUCCAGAAACGGACUGUCGUAUGUUGUUGACUGAUUCGAACUUGUCGAUUGGUAGGCACCGACGGGAUGUGAUCACUUUACCACACUUAGUCUGAGUCUCCUCUUGUUCUACUUCGAACGAGUGUAGUCUCCCUAGCAGGGUUCUAGUAACUACCGUGUCCUUCUCCUGUGUUGUUUCCGGUAAGAUCAUCGAGGGUAAGUACCAUGAUGACACUACCUACUCCGCCUAGGCCUACACGACAUAUCACGACACUACUUGUACGGGCCGAAACGACUCCUUAUAAACAAUCAACGAGACAGAGUCGACUACCUGUUGUGACGGGUCCCGAGGCGUAUAUACCGGUACUCGCUCCUCCUGGCCCAUAGUACCGAGUAAUUGAAGAACUUUUUUAUGAUGAGGGGGGCCGGGGUAAAUUAACUGCGCUGGGCGUUCGAUUCACCAUUUCGUGUGCUUCAUAUCCAGCCCUGUCAAUUAAUCUCGGUCUCCCUCAUGAUUCAAAAUUGACAACGACCAACCGCCAUUAAUAAAACGUCGUAAUACACUGACAUUUGUAUGACAUACAAAAAAACGACAGUAUUCACUUCUAUCUGCUCUAAAUGUCUGACGUUCAAAGUCACGUUGUGGAUGACAAAACAACGUCGUAGCAAAACACUUUUAACUCUUCUAUUUAGAGUUAACAAAUAGGUCAAGAGAUAGGGUGAGGGAAUGACAGCAAUUGUUUCUCCUCUUUACCCACGUCUACUACACGUCAAUCGUCUUUUUACCUUAUAUGACGUAAAACAUCGAUUACACCACUAGGACUUAGAAUGACCUAAAUAGGGCAAAGUGUUCACUACCAAAUCCACUCGCUUUCCUUCGAGUGUAGUCAUACGGGUCCCGAGACGUAUAUACCGGUACUGACUCCUCCUGGCUCAUAGUACCGAGCACUUGAUGGACUUUUCUAUGAUCAUUCAAACUUGACAACGACCGACCCCCAUUAAUCAAAUAUCCUACUACACUGACCUUCGUUUGAUAAAAAAAAAAACGACAAUGAGGGAGGCAAGGAUUUAUAAACAGAAAGAUCUCUAAAGUUGUUCACUGAUGUAUGCCUCGUUUUACUCACUUAGAUGUGAAAUUUUAUACAGAUAUAUGUAGGCAUACACCAUCAGAUAAACUUUAGAAAUUUUUCUGUUUAUAAAUCCUUGCCUCCCUCAUAUUGACUUCUAUCUACUCUAAAUGCCUGACGUUCACAGUCACGUUAUGGAUGAUAAAACAACAUCGCAACAAAAUACUUUUAACUCUAUUAUUUAGAGUCAACAAAUAAGUCAGGAGAUAGGGUGUUUCUCCUCUUUACCCACGUCUACUAAACGUCAAUCGUCCUUCUACCUUAUAUAAACAUCGAUUACACCACUACGACUUAGAAUAGCCUAAAUAAGUCAAAGUGUUCACUACCACAUCGUUUGACACUACACUUAUACAUGUAAAACGUCUUCAAUGAAACAUGCCGUAAAGAACAACCUAACCGAGUACGUAUUUACAAUUCUAAAGGUUGA
rnacentral:rRNA from 1 species